rnacentral:piRNA from 1 species
UCUCGUUUAGUCUGAGCCUGGAGAUGUUC